GGGGUGAUGAGUGUCCAGACUUGUCUGGAUAUGUGGAGACUUCUUUGUCUCUAGUCCCUCRGGGUAUUUUUUAUACACUCCGAAUGUAAAAGAAUGUAACUGUGCAUAAUGCGCAACUAUACAACUUUCAACAACGGAUCUCUUGGCUCUCGCAUCGAUGAAGAACGCAGCGAAAUGCGAUAAGUAAUGUGAAUUGCAGAAUUCAGUGAAUCAUCGAAUCUUUGAACGCACCUUGCACCCUUUGGUAUUCCGAAGGGUACGCCCGUUUGAGUGUCAUUGUAAUCUCACCUCUACAGUUUCUGCUGUAGAAGUGGAUCUGGAUGUUGUCGGCUUGUUCGACUUGUCUGAAAUGUAUGAGUGUACCCUGCUGUGCAGCGUAUCUGGUGUGAUAAGCAUCUUCACUGGAGUAAUGUCACUUUUGUGACACGUCUGACCUGUGGGCUCUAUGCUUCAAACCGUCCUUAUGGACAAUCUUUGACAAUUUGACCUCAAAUCGGGUGGGACUACCCGCUGAACUUAAGCAUAUCAAUAAGCGGAGGAAAAGAAACUAACAAGGAUUCCCCUAGUAACGGCGAGCGAAGAGGGAAAAGCUCAAAUUUUGAAUCUGGUGUCUUUGACUCCCGAGUUGUAAUCUAGAGAAGUGUUUUCCGUGUUGGACCGUACAUAAGUCUCCUGGAACGGGGCGUCAUAGAGGGUGAGAAUCCCGUUUAUGGUACGGACUCCCAGUGCUUUGUGAUACACUCUCAACGAGUCGAGUUGUUUGGGAAUGCAGCUCAAAAUGGGUGGUAAAUUCCAUCUAAAGCUAAAUAUUGGCGAGAGACCGAUAGCGAACAAGUACCGUGAGGGAAAGAUGAAAAGCACUUUGGAAAGAGAGUGAAACAGUACGUGAAAUUGUUGAAAGGGAAGCGUUUGAGGUCAGUCACAUCUGGCGGAACUCAGCCUGGCUUUUGCCUGGUGUACUUUCUGUCCGAUGGGUCAGCGUCAAUUUUGACUGAGGGAGAAAGGCUUGGGGAAUGUGGCUGUCUUCGGGCAGUGUUAUAGCCCCUUGUUGUAUGUCUCACUUGGGAUUGAGGAACGCAGCACGCC
rnacentral:rRNA from 1 species